CGCUGAGGAUACACUAAAAGCACCAGAUCUCAUCUGAUCUUGGAAGCUUAGCAAGGUUAGCGCUGAUUAGUACUUGGACGGGAAACCUCCAGUGAAUAACCAGUGUUGUAGGGA
rnacentral:rRNA from 1 species